rnacentral:rRNA from 1 species
GACGAACGCUGGCGGCGUGCUUAACACAUGCAAGUCGAACGGAAAGGCCUGCUUUCCCUUGUGGCUUGCGGGUACUCGAGUGGCGAACGGGUGAGUAACACGUGAGUGAUCUGCCCCCAACUUGUGUAUAAGCCUGGGAAACUGGGUCUAAUUCCCGAUAGGACUGCAGUGUGGUGGCGGUGGUUGAAAACGAUUGUCUAGUGGUUGGGGAUGAGCGCGCGGCUUAUCAGCUUGUUGGUGGGGUAAUGGGCUACCACGGCGGCUAUGGGUAGCCGGCGUGGGAGGGUGGACGGCCGCAUUGGGGCAGAGUUACGGCCACGGCGACUACGAGACGCAGCAGAGGGGAAUGUGGGGCAAUGGGCGGGAGCAUGAGGCAGCGAGGGCGCGUGGGGGCUGGCGGCGUUGGGGUUGUGAACUCCGUUCGAGCGCGGGAAAGCCACUUGGCUGGGAAGGUGAUGAAGGUAGUGGUAGAAGUAGCCCCGGCUAACUACGUG